ensembl:Y_RNA Y_RNA Y RNA
GGCUGGUGUGAGUGCAGCGGUGUUUACAACUAAUUGAUCACAAGCAGUUAUAGAUUUCUUUGUUCCUUCUCCACUCUCACUGCUUUACUUGGCUAGCCUAAA